rnacentral:rRNA from 1 species
GAUGAACGCUGGCGGCGUGCCUAAUACAUGCCAGUAGAACGCUGAAGGAGGAGCUUGCUCUUCUGGAUGAGUUGCGAACGGGUGAGUAACGCGUAGGUAACCUGCCUGGUAGCGGGGGAUAACUAUUGGAAACGAUAGCUAAUACCGCAUGACAACAGUUAUUGCAUGAUAACUGUUUAAAAGGGGCAACUGCUCCACUACCGGAUGGACCUGCGUUGUAUUAGCUAGUUGGUGAGGUAACGGCUCACCAAGGCGACGAUACAUAGCCGACCUGAGAGGGUGAUCGGCCACACUGGGACUGAGACACGGCCCAGACUCCUACGGGAGGCAGCAGUAGGGAAUCUUCGGCAAUGGACGGAAGUCUGACCGAGCAACGCCGCGGGAGUGAAGAAGGGUUUCGGAUCGUAAAGCUCUGUUGUAAGAGAAGAACGAGUGUGAGAGUGGAAAGUUCACACUGUGACGGUAUCUUACCAGAAAGGGACGGCUAACUACGUG